GCACACAGGUAGGGGUGUGUGUGCAGGUAGGAGUGUGUGUACACAGGUAGGGGUGUGUGUACAGGUAGGGGUGUGUGUACACAGGUAGGGGUGUGUGUACAGUUAGGGGUGUGUGUACUGGUAGGGGUGUGUGUACAGGUAGGGGUGUGUGUACACAGGCAGGGGUGUGUGUACACAGGUAGGGGCGUGUGUACAGGUAGGGGUGUGUACACAGGUAGGGGUGUGUGUACACUGGUAGGGGUGUGUGUACAGGUAGGGGCGUGUGUACACACGUAGGGGUGUGUGUACACAGGUAGGGGCGUGUGUACAGGUAGGGGUGUGUACACAGGUAGGGGUGUGUG